UACAGAGGUCUCAAGCGUUGUUCGGAUUCAUUGGGUGUAAAGGGUGCGUAGGUGGCGGGGCAAGUUUGGUGUGAAAUCCCGGGGCUCAACCCCGGAACUGCACUGAAUACUGCCUUGCUUGAGCACUGGAGAGGGAACUGGAAUUUACGGUGUAGCAGUGAAAUGCGUAGAUAUCGUAAGGAAGACCAGUGGCGAAGGCGAGUUCCUGGACAGUUGCUGACACUGAGGCACGAAGGCUAGGGGAGCAAACGGG
rnacentral:rRNA from 1 species